GCCUUCAUGGUGUAGUGGUCAGCACGCUCGGCGCGUAUUCGAGAGGUCCGUGGUUCGACUCCCGCCUAAGGCA
rnacentral:tRNA from 1 species